CAGCUUUCAUUCACCUCAUAUGGACAAUGCAUAUCAGAACUAAUUUGUUAUAAGUGCAUAGUAUAAUAUUAAGAAACAUAUAUGUUUACUGAAGUUAAUUUUUUAAAAAUAUUUGACAAAUGAUACUAAAUUUACCAAUUACAUACUGGUAGUUUACUUUUAUUUCAAUUAAUUACAAUAUUUUUCCGCAAAAGUACCCAUAUGUGAUGAACAGCUUCUGUUUGCUACCUUCCAAACCUUAUGCAGCUCAGUUUUUACAGAGAGAUGGCGGAAAAAAGAAAGAGCAUGACUUACCAAGUGUUACCGGUUGUGUUGAUGUUACAGAUACAGAGUAUCUAUGGCAGUUCCCUGCAGUCAUGUGCUUCCCAAGGAACCAGAUACUACUCUCCUCCCUGCAACAGUCACUCUGAACUCACAGUUGAUGGGUGCUGUAAGACCUGUAAUGAGUGCCAGCCUGGAGAAGGAGUCAACAGAAACUAUGUGGUGUGUUUUUUAAAUAAGUACAUAUUUGCAAAUACUGCAUCUUUGACAUUAUUCAAUUGUGUUCAAUAAAUAAAUAAUACUUGCUCAGUGUAAAAUUGAGAAUAUGUAUAAUUUAUGAUUGCUUAUAUGCCAUGGCCUUUUUCCAAUUAAAAUUUGUAAAUUCAUAUACAAUAAUUAUCUAUUUUAACAAUAUAAUAUAGCUUCCUUUUCAUCCUUCUUCUCCUCUUUAACUCCCCUAUCUCUGUCUCUUUCUCUCUGGCUGCUCUC